GCGAAGCAUCUGCCAAGGAUGUUUUCAUUAAUCAAGAACGAAAGUUAGGGGAUCGAAGACGAUCAGAUACCGUCGUAGUCUUAACCAUAAACGAUGCCGACCAGCGAUUAGGAGACGUUGAAUACAAAACACCACCAUCGGCGCGGUCGUCCUUGGCGUCUGUCUUUCUGGGCCGGCCCGGGGGCGGCUUAGGCUGGUGGCGCCGGUGAAUGAGUCCGCUACCCCCUUGAGCUAGUGAGA
rnacentral:rRNA from 1 species